UGGACUGCAAAAGCAGCAAUGACUGAUUUGCUUGUGUCCUGAAAAGGCUCUUUAUAACUUCUGCUGACUUCAUUGGAAUCUGGCUGACUGAGUGGAAACUCUCUGCUCUUCCCUAGCAGAAGACUGUGAGGACAUCUGACAGUUAUCUCCCCUUCCAAGGGGACUGUUCUGAGGUUGUACUUGGUUGUGCUUUCCUGCUGGAAUCUUCUACUGAAAAACUCUGACCUCUCUAGGAACUGGAAACUGCCAAUGGCCAAUGAGUGGACUGAGGAGGCUGAAUUAUGAAUCAUGGAGUGGGAAAUAAUAAUACACCACCACCUGAAUUUCCAUUCAAGACUGAAAACACAGCUCCAGGAAGUAGGCAAAGCAAAUACACCAAGGCUAAAAAGCUUUCAAAUGAAGUGAGAAAGUGCUCGAAAGUGUCUAGAGAAACUGAGCACAGCAAAGAGCACUAUGCUGUCCCUUCAGCUCUGAGUGUUGAGUUAAAAGUUCAGAGAGUCCCUUUCAGGCUAAUUACAUGCUCUACCCAAAACUGUAUUUGGAAGUUUUAAAGUGGAUAUUAAUCAACAUGGCAGCUACCAAUCUUGAAUCAUUAACUUCAAGAAGUGCUGUCAUCAGCACUUCCAAAGCAUGUUUCCAAGAGCCUCAGUGAUUAAAAAAAGCUGAAAUAGUCUUAGCUGUUGUUAUAUUUUUAUUGUUGCAAACCAAACUCUGAAAUUUUUGAUGAAACAGUAGGAAAUUAAGAUGAUAAAAUUCCUCUAAGAAAGCUCCUUGCAACUAAUGUAAGCAAAUAAUGUAUCCACACUUGAAUUGUCAACUUAAUAGACAACAGGAGAUCUUUCUCUCUAAGCUUCAUACCAGGACGGGCAAAGUUUUGACAUGACUGACAAGAAGCUGCCCUGUGCUUUCAGCAGCCCUCCCUCCCGAUGUUCCUCUUCUAAGCAAGAAGCUCAGAGCGCUUUCUCACUGACAGAGCGCACAUCACAGCAAGUCAACAGAAACUGCUUACUUUCCUUUGUUAUCUUUCCUUCUACAAAGCACAGUGCAAGGAUGCCAAAUCGGGUUAUAAAAAUAAAUGCAUCACUUUUUAAUGUG
rnacentral:lncRNA from 7 species